rnacentral:rRNA from 1 species
UACGGAGGGGGCUAGCGUUGUUCGGAAUUACUGGGCGUAAAGCGCACGUAGGCGGCUUUGUAAGUUAGAGGUGAAAGCCCGGGGCCCAACCCCGGAACUGCAUCUGAAACUGCCUGGCUAGAGUCCCGGAGAGGAAGGCAGAAUUCCCGGUGUAGGGGUGAAAUCCGUAGAUAUCGGGAGGAAUACCAGCGGCGAAGGCGGCCUUCUGGACGGUGACUGACGCUGAGACGCGAAAGCGUGGGGAGCAAACAGG